GUGCUCGCUUUGGCACAUAUACUAAAAUUGUAACGAUACAGAGAAGAUUGGAAUAGCCUUUGUGCAAGGAUGACACACAAAUUCAUGAAGUAUUCCAUAUUAAA